AAUAAUACACAAUCUAAAACUGGAAGAAUGAUUAUGAGUGACAUGACAACAGACGUAUUUAGUCAUCUUGAUAAUCUUGACCAGACAAUGUCCAUUUCCCCCAGUUGACCUUGUAAAAUGUCUGUGCUGUUGAGCACUGAAGCAUGAAGGCCCAUUGCACACAGGGAAAGACAGUUCAGAGGUUUUUGUGCGAGCAUGAAUCACCGUGGACUAGCUACUUCGGAGGAGGCACAAAACUAACAACACUGAGUAACGCCCGUCCCCAAUCCCCCCCUGAGCUGGUGCUGCUGGCCCCCUCCCAGGCCUUCUCCUCUGGGGACAGGCCUACUGUGGUGUGCCUGGCUCAGGGCUUCUACCCUGAUGGUGCCACCCUGAGCUGGUCAGAGGAUGGCAAAGAAGUGGCGGCCACUGACUUCCAGACGGGCCCGUCUCAGCGCCAGUCUGAUGGCACCUUCUCCCUCAGCAGCGUCCUGACGGUGCAGCCGCAACGCUGGCACUCUGGCCGUUCCUACAGCUGCCAGCUGCAGCACUCUGCCCUCUCCAGGCCUCUGAGCAAGGCUGUGGACAACGCUCACUGCAGCUAGACAGGCUACAGUGGACAACACUCUCUGCAGCUAGACAGGCUACAGUGGACAACGCUCACUGCAGCUAGACAGGCUACAGUGGACAACGCUCACUGCAGCUAGACAGGCUACAGUGGACAACACUCACUGCAGAUAGAAAGG